UGGAGAGUUUGAUCCUGGCUCAGGACGAACGCUGGCGGCGUGCCUAAUACAUGCAAGUCGAGCGAACAGAAGGGAGCUUGCUCCCGGAUGUUAGCGGCGGACGGGUGAGUAACACGUGGGUAACCUGCCUGUAAGACUGGGAUAACUCCGGGAAACCGGAGCUAAUACCGGAUAGUUCCUUGAACCGCAUGGUUCAAGGAUGAAAGACGGUUUCGGCUGUCACUUACAGAUGGACCCGCGGCGCAUUAGCUAGUUGGUGGGGUAAUGGCUCACCAAGGCGACGAUGCGUAGCCGACCUGAGAGGGUGAUCGGCCACACUGGGACUGAGACACGGCCCAGACUCCUACGGGAGGCAGCAGUAGGGAAUCUUCCGCAAUGGACGAAAGUCUGACGGAGCAACGCCGCGUGAGUGAUGAAGGUUUUCGGAUCGUAAAGCUCUGUUGUUAGGGAAGAACAAGUGCGAGAGUAACUGCUCGCACCUUGACGGUACCUAACCAGAAAGCCACGGCUAACUACGUGCCAGCAGCCGCGGUA
rnacentral:rRNA from 1 species